rnacentral:rRNA from 1 species
UUGAUCCUGGCUCAGGAUGAACGCUGGCGCGCGUGCCUAACACAUGCAAGUCGAACGGUCUCCUUCGGGAGAUAGUGGCGCACGGGUGAGUAACACGUGGUUGACCUACCUCAAAGUCAGGGAUAACGUUCCGAAAGGAAUGCUAAUACCUUAUAAGCUCCCGGGGAUUAGAAGCCUGGGAGAAAAGCUCCGGCGCUUUGAGAGGGGACUGCGCGUCAUCAGCUAGUUGGUGUGGUAACGGCACACCAAGGCAACGACGACUAGGGGGCCUGAGAGGGUGACCCCCCACACUGGAACUGAGACACGGUCCAGACCCCUACGGGAGGCAGCAGUGAGGAAUAUUGCACAAUGGGCGCAAGCCUGAUGCAGCGACGCCGCGUGAGUGAUGAAGGCCUUCGGGUCGUAAAGCUCUUUUCUAGGUGACGAGAACGGACGGUAGCCUAGGAAUAAGUGUCGGCUAACUACGUGCCAGCAGCCGCGGUAAAACGUAGGACACAAGCGUUAUCCGGAGUUACUGGGCGUAAAGGGCGUGUAGGCGGAUUGGUAAGUCUGCUCUGAAAGCUCCUGGCUAAACUGGGAGAGGCGAGCGGAGACUGUCAGUCUAGAGUGAGGAAGAGAGAAGUGGAAUCCGCGUGUAGUGGUGAAAUGCGUAAGAUGCGGAGGAACACCAGUGGCGAAAGCGGCUUCUUGGUCCCUUAACUGACGCUGAGGCGCGAAAAGCAUGGGGAGCGAAACGGGAUUAGAAACCCCGGUAAGUCCAUGCCCGUAAAACGAUGUUCACUAAAACGUUCGUUUCCCCGCGAGGGAAAGCGGGUGUUGAAGCUAACGCAGUAAGUUGAAACCGCCUGGGGGAGUACGGUCGCAAGGCUAAAACUCAAAGGAAUUGACGGGGGACCGCACAAGCAGCGGAGCGUGUGGUUUAAUUCGAGGCUACACGAAGAACCUUACCUAGGUUUGACAUCUUACUGAAGUCUGCGUGAAAGCGUGGAUGUCCCGCAAGGGACAGUAGGACAGGUGCUGCAUGGCUGUCGUCAGCUCGUGCCGUGAGGUGUUCGGUUAAGUCCGCAAAACGAGCGCAACCCUCGGUGCCAGUUACAAGUGUCUGGCGCGACUGCCCGUGGCAAACGGGAGGAAGGUGGGGAUGACGUCAAGUCAGCAUGGCCUUUAUAUCUAGGGCGACACACACGCUACAAUGGCGUAUACAAUGGGUCGCGAAGCCGCGAGGUGGAGCCAAUCCUAAAAAGUACGUCUCAGUUCAGAUUGCAGGCUGCAACCCGCCUGCAUGAAGUUGGAGUUGCUAGUAACCGCGCGUCAGCAGAGUGCGGUGAAUACGUUCCCGGUCCUUGUACACACCGCCCGUCACGUCAUGAGAGCUGGUGACGCCUGAAGUCGGGAAGCUAACCGCAAGGGGGCUACUGCCGAGGGCAGCACUGGUGAUUGGGACGAAGUCGUACAAGGUAGCUGUAGCGGAAGCUGCGGCUGGAUCACCUCC